GCGACGGAUAGGAAGUUUCGGAUGGACUUGAAGAUGCAUCGUUCUAGCGGCGGACGGGUGAGUAACGCGUGAGCAACCUGUCCCUUACAGGGGGAUAACACAGCGAAAGUUGUACUAAUACCGCAUAAGACCACGGGAGGACAUCCUUCAGGGGUCAAAGGAGGAAUCCGGUAAGGGGUGGGCUCGCGUCCGAUUAGAUAGUUGGUGAGGUAACGGCCCACCAAGUCGACGAUCGGUAGCCGACCUGAGAGGGUGAUCGGCCACAUUGGGACUGAGACACGGCCCGAACUCCUACGGGAGGCAGCAGUGGGGAAUAUUGGGCAAUGGGGGGAACCCUGACCCAGCAACGCCGCGUGAGGGAAGAAGGUUUUCGGAUCGUAAACCUCUGUCCUUGGUGAAGAGGAAGAGACGGUAGCCAAGGAGGAAGCCCCGGCUAACUACGUGCCAGCCGCGGC
rnacentral:rRNA from 1 species